UCAUUUUAAUACAUACAUUUUAAAGAUUGCUUUCUCAUCUCAAUACUCAUCCCAAUAUUCUUAUUAAAGUAAGACUGACGAAAUAAUAUAAAAAAAUACAUGGAGAGCUGCAUGGAAAGACCAUGGCGGAAAUACAGGUGAGAAGAGGGAAUGAAGGCAGCGGCCACCCACGAGGAGGUGGACGCAGCACACAGCCCUGGAUAACUGAGCCGGACUUGGAGGGAUAAAUAGGUGUUAGCUGUAGAGGUAUAAACCAUACAUUCAGGAAGCUAGCAGCUCUGAGAGAGAAAUGGGACGCAUUAGGGGAUGGCACACAGAGGAAGACGGGAAUGCAAACACAGAUGGACAGAAAUUGGAAAUACCUGUCAGUGCACUAGCUUUUCCUAUGUUGUAUUCCAUGAGAAAUCAUCAGAGGUCAGUGGUGGUGGCACACACCUUUAAUCCCAGCACUCGGGAGGCAGAGCCAGGUGGAUCUCUGAGUUCGAGGCCAGCCUGGUCUACAGAGCGAGUUCCAGGUCAGCCAGGGCUACACAGGGAAACUCUGUCUCAGUGGGAAAAAAAAAAAAAAGGAGAGAGCGAGAGACAGAGAGAGACAGAGAGAGACAGAGACAGAGAGACAGAGAGGAGGGGAACUCAUCAGAGAACUGCAGAGAAAGACAACACUCUGGAGAAGAGGCCCCCUCACUCUCACUAGUUGUGACUUCAAGCAAGUACACUGUACCUGGGCUCCUCUUGGGAAAACAGUACUUAGCUAAGAGGGUAAUUGUGAGGGUUGUGAUAGCUAUGGUACCUUAAGACACCGUCUCACUGCCUGGCAAGUAGUAAACAGUGUAUAUUAGGAUACUGUUGUUGCUGUUGCUGCUGCUGCUGCUGCUGCUGCUAAUGAUAUUAACAAAAAAUUAACUGGAAGGGAAGAGAGUGUCAUGGUUCCCCUGAAAUGACUGGCCACAGUGUACUCUCCACUUUGUAGCAGAAGCAAAGGAGAAUGGACAAAAUAACCGGCUUGUUUGCAUAAGGAGUGGUGGUCACAAGACCAAGAGCACUGAAUUCGGACUCUCACAUUUUAACCAGGAGCGCUCUCCUGAAGCCCACCUGAACGUUUCCUGCUCUCUACUACUUUUCCUGUUUUUCUCACUGUCCAUACUGCCCAACACGACUGGCAACCCACCACAGUUAAGCACAGUAUGUGUGAAAGACAGCAUCAUUUUGGUAGUUCUGUUUUAUAGCUUUGCAGAAACCGUUUUUGAAACAGAAUGAGCUACAGAAGUGUUGGAGGGAGGCAGUCUGAGUGUGAGAAAUGGCUAAAGGGAAGACAGGAAGUUAAGAGAUAAGGGUCAUUUAAGGAAACCUCAAAGAGGCGACUCAAAAAUGGAUCGGACCAACUGAAACAGGUAUGUGAGAGACUAGGACAAGAUGUAAAACUUUACAUCGGAAAUGGCAUAGGCUACAGAUGACCUGGGGAAGUCCAGGAUGGAACAGGAACAACCUUCUGGAAGAGUAUUUUGGGCAGCUCACACGCCAGCCCAAGCAGAGCAAGACAAGGCAGAGGACCGUGUGAGGAGCAGCAUCACAAGUUGGUGCAGUGCAGUGCCAUCUGACACAAACCUUUAAAGGGAAAGGGACUUGGCAACACACAUGAGAAGCCACAAAAAUAUUUACCCCAUCUGACCCAGAACUCCUACUCCUAUGAGUUUAUUUUAAUGAAGCCAUGUAGAGUGAGAGAAAAAUUAUCUAUGUAAGCACAUUCAAGACAUAUAUAGUAAGAGGCGAGCUGAAUAAUCAACACUGAAAAACGUGUAUGUCAAAAUAUCCUACCCAUCUGAUAAAAUACUGUGUAACAACUAAAAGAAAGGUGAUGCAUUGGGGUUAUUUUAUAAUAAAAAUCUUAAGAAUGAAGGAUAGAGUAAGUGAACAGGGGAGGGAAGAAGGGGGAGUAGAGGAGGUCAUGAAUCUGAGGCUAGACUUAGGAAUUUACAGAGCCAGGGGUCACGGAAGCCUACAUUAAAGAUGAGGAGGCAGCAGGCUAAUGUUCUCAGGGCUGCUCAGUAGAGGCUCCCUAUAAAUGAAAAUAAUUAUACUUAGAAACCAAGAAGGCUCAGUUUUUGCCACUCAACAUAAAAUAUUAAUUCCGUAAAUUAUUUGGAAUAAAUGUGUCUACUUGUUCAAACUUAAUACUUCUCCUAAAUGUUUUUUGGCAUUUAUAAGCAGAGGACAGGGAAAAAAGUAAUUCUUAUUUGGAAAGAUACUCAGUAAGUUACAAAAAUAUCUUCUAAGUGUUUCCUACAUAGAAUUAUUUUUUUAGGUGAGAAUUUAGAAUAGUACCAAGGGCUAAUUUUUCACUUUUCUGUUGCUUUUUCAUAGCAAGUAUGAUCAAAAAAUAAUAAUUUCAAAUAAUAAAUUUAAAGUAAUAAUAAAAACAGCAUUUUAAAAAAUAACAGAAGUUUUCAAAGGCCCCAUAUAGCCAGCAUGAAAGCUUAAUUUAACUGGAAAAUAUACUAGCAUGGGGGGCACUAGUAUAUUUUCCAAUUAAUGAUCCAUUAAACUCUGAAUGGAUCAAGCUAUUUAGAAACUCAACCCCAGAGACCACUGUACCCAGCAGAUGCUGAAUUAUAUAAGGCUGGCUUCACUUACCCAAGCUAAAUCAGACCUAACAUGCUCUCCUACCUCUCCUUCCAACGCUUCUUAAAUACUUGUAAUUUUUUGAGACAGGGCUUUCUGAAUGUUCCAGGCUGGCCUUUCAAUCUUGUCGCCUUACUCCCCUUUCUAAAGCUCAAAUGAUGGGAACACGUGCCUCUCUAGAGCUGUUAGCCAACUAACAUUCAUUUCCAGAACAGGAGCAAGUUGAAUAUAAAUCAAAGAGUAAAAUCACUGUUCAACUUAAAGACCAGGCAAGCAAGAACCUCUCGGUGACACACCAGACUCAUGUCUGCAGGUUUUAUUACUAUGAGAGGCCCCCCAAGAAAACUCAGCCAUCAGAUAACCUACUGCUCAUUAAGGGCAAUACUGGUCAGGCUGCACUUGACAAUCCAUAAGGUUUUCCUUCCUCUUUUACAUGGUACAGCUGGCACCUUGCACAUGGUAGGUAGGCAUUAAAUGGCCACUACUGUUGUUACUGCAUGGUCUCUGCUCUAGUAUCUGGCUAAAUGCUGACCUACUAGAGAAUUUGGUGAUGUCUACAAGUACACUCAAAGACUACUUCUUAGGAGUCAAAACAGACUGUAAAACAAUUUGGAAAUAAGUACAAUGUGUAACAAGGAUAUCUCUAUGCAAAAACCUAGGGCAAGCCCAAAGUCAAGGCUCAGCCUCAAAAAUGGAAAGCAAAACAUCCUUCUACAUGGUCCAGGAUAUUUAAAUCCCCAUUCAAAUGCAGAGGCUGCAUUUCUAGAACUGUUUCCUUGUUAGCUUUCCCCUAGUCACAUUCGUCAAGCAUAUAAAUGAUGAGCUCAAGACUACCAACAGUCUUCCUGUCCCGUAACUAACUCUUGGAGAUCUACUUAAGUGACAGUAUCUUAAGUAACUUUUUCAUCAUUCAUCUGACCAUCAAUGUGCCAUACUUCCAAAAUGGAAUCGUGUUGGAGAUGGCUAUGGGACAGUGACAUGCCCAGGUGGCCUCUGUGGCUUGCAUGUCAUCUCUGGAUUGAUCAGUCACAGUUAAUCAAGUCAGUUUCUUCACCUAUUAAGUGACAGGUUUGGUUCUAUUUUCCGGAGCACUGUACUGCUUCCUUCGCAACUGCUGAGCCCUAAGUUCUCUGCCUUUAGUUACAGAAUCAACUGUUUAUUUUGAGAUGUGUUGCCAUAGCUUAGACUACCGAAGCUCUCGGUCUUCCUUCAAGUCUUUUCUGACAAAAGGGUUAAGUAGAGAGGCUCUUUACCAUCAUUAGCUUCACUGGCAUGGGUGCUGAGGUUCAUUGUAACACUGUGAUUUUGUUGUUCUUUUCUUUUCUUUUUUAAGACAGGGUUUCUCUGUGUAGCCCUGGUGUUAUCCUGGACCUUGCUCCGUAGACCAGGCUGGGCCUCCAAAGUGGAGAUCCACCUGCCUCUGCCACCCGAGUGCUGGGAUUAAAGGCAUGCAUCAUCACCACACAAGAAACAGCUACUCUUAAUUUAAAGAAUUAUUUUCCUAUUCUGAAGCAACUUACCCUUGACAAACAGACAAGUUUUUUUCUUUCUGGGAUAGAGAUUUCUCUCUCUAGGAUAACAAGGGCCAGCGAAUGAAGCAAGAAUGCUUGGAAAUGAAUUUCUGUACUACAGUAGAAAUUGGGUGUAUUCUGGAGUCACACAGCUAUUGGCUGCUCUGAAAGUGGUAGGAGAUACACCAUGGUGAUGAUACCGCUGGAGGUGCAAAGGUUAAGAUGAGGAGUGGGGAAGGUCCCCAAAUGUCUUAACCGUGUUACAUCAACUCAGUGCCAUACGCCUUGUUGGAGGCAAACAGCCCUGGGCUCCCGCAGCAGCAGCCCUGCUCUAAGUGCUUUAAACACAGAACCCUUCAGUCCUGACCAAAGCCCCAGGAUAUGAGGCUUCUCUCCUCAUUUGACAGAGGAAGAGAGAGUGCAGCAAAGUUAAGCACCACGGACUUGGCCACAUGCAUUGUAAACUGAAGAUCAGCAUCCAGGGAGUCCGGCUCUAGAGCCUGUCCUCUGGCCACACCACCUCAUCAAAGAUCCAGACUAUUAACUCCUCAUAACUUAACGGGGAAGACCUCAUAGACACUAUGCUCAGUGCUUGGCAUUGCACUUCAAUGAAUCUCAUCCACACAAUAAAUAAAAAGAAUGGUGUUUUAAUCCCUCCUUUUCAGACAAGGCAACUGGGACUUAGAGGCUUGAAAUAACUUAUCCACAGUCAUGAAGCUAUUAACAGCAGAACUGAGACCAGAACCGAGGUUUAUCUGAUGCCAGACCCUGUCUUCUUUCUGUCUACUUGCAACAACCAGCUUAUGAGAAAAGAUAACAUAAAGAGCCCUCCUCCUCUUCUUCCAGACAAUGAACUAAUUUCUCUCGGCAUCAUCUAUUCCUCUUCUGUUUGGACUCAAUGCUCCAUAAUCACUUCUUACUCAGAACAUUUUUCAUAUCCACUUCUCCAGACAAGAAAACUGAAGAGCAUGCCGUCCAUCUAUUUUCUCGGGGUUUCCGACUCACACCCAUCAAUCAGUUUACUUCUAUUCUUACCCGACUACUCACAGCACAGGUCACCUUCCUAAUCAUGUCACACAGUUUCUCCCUUUGAGGGGCAGUGCUGCGAUGCAACGUGAAGCUCACCUACUUCCUUCGUGCUCCAAUCAGCCCUACUCCACGGUUCCUACUAUAACUGAUAGUAAACAGGAGUGCUUUCUCCUAAAAGAGCUAACUGGUCCCCGUGACACCAGAUCAGAACAUUCUCAGGCUUGACCACAGAGUGUGUCUGGGAAUCUCUGAAGCACUUCAGGACAUCACCUUAAACAACAGAUGAUCCUGACAACACUGGAAACAUUCACAGUAUGAAAGGGGAAGCUAAGCUCAGACAAUACAUGGCCAUGAGUGACAGGAACAUCAAGGAGAUCCCCCUGAGGGGAGAUCAAGGAGAGGAAGGGAUAAACUGGAGGAAGCCAAUAAAUAGAGGACCUAAUUGGUUUUGCCACAAAACAAUGACAAGGGGACUAAGAUCUCAGUGUAGGUUUUUCCUCCUCCUUUCCCUGUAGAAGAAAGUUCCCAUUAUUGCUGGGUAUCUGGCAUAUAGUAAGUGCUAAAUAAACAUUAGUUAAUUCAACACAAUAGCCAAAUUAUUAUACUUCCUUUUGAAAACCAGCCUGUAGCUCCCCCAUAUCUUCUCUGGAAAGCAAUAAUAAAUCAAGUUAAAAUAAUACAAUCUACGAAAUAUGUACACCUACGCAUGAAAUGAGUUUCUCCUAAAUUAGGCAGACAUGCUCAACCCUGAAGCAUAUCAGGUGAAGGGGCUAAGACGUGACUAGAAUACAGCCCGUGUAUGCGCCCAAAGAAAGCCGCACAGCAAAAAAGGCACUAGACAGCAAGACUCAAAUCUCAGUUCCGUCUUCAUUAGCUGGUUCUUUGCACCUCGGUUUCCUCAUCUAUAAAAUGGGAAGGAUGAUACCAUCUACCCUAUAAAUAAUCUGAGGAUCAAAGGAGAUCACAUACAAGACAUCAACGCCUGGAAAACCAUACAAUAGUAUUGGUACAUAAAGAACUGCCAUCGUUGCUGGACCCGCUCGAUAGCCCCCGCCUCGCCGGCCCGGACGAUGGAGAGGGCGCGCUCUUCAUCCAUGGCCGCAGGUGCGGGGGAGCCGCGGCCGCUCUGCGCGCCCCAGCCGCUGCCUCCCAGAAUAACCAAAUCUUGGUCCUUGAUCACGUAUUGGCCAUGCAUUCCUUGGAAAAUGACAGAGGAAAAGCUGUCAUUCUUGUACAGUGUGUGGAAUGCCACCUUGGGUGGAGGGGAAGAUCUGGAGCCUCGCUUAGGAACUGCCUUGGUUUAAUGAGCACAGUUUCCCAGAACUUCUGAGCGUCUCCUGGGCACCGAUGUGGGAUGACUUGAGCCCUGGCAAAGGACACAGCAGGACAAAUGCCGAGGACGCCAUGGACCUGCAGCGUGGGUGACGUCCUGGCUAAUGUUCAUGACUUCAGCCAGUCUCAAGCUGUCAGAGGCCCUUUCAAGAAAAUGUCCUAUUGCCAGGAUUCUCUGCUUUUCUUGACAAGUGACUGGCCCCACUCCCAGCUGCCAGCCUGGCCCAUCCCAGCUCUGCCGACUGGAGAGGAACCAUCAGAAAGAGAAGAUACCUUGAGUCCUGCCCCCAGCCGCUGUUGCCUUUCCUGGUUAGAGCCUUUCCAUGACUUACGGUGAAGGUUUUAGCGUGUUUGGGAACAAAGAUCGUGCCCUUCGCUCCUAGGGAGGAUGCCCUGUGCCCGCUGGCCCUCAUCUCAAGCUGCUUUCUUUGUUGGUAUCACUCAUUCCUGGUUUAAGCUGUGAGGACCAUGCACUUACUUGGAAAGUCAUGAAACCUUCCCUUCUCUUUCUCUCAGCCUCAGGUUCUCGUCAAAGCUGACAAGUUUUCACCUAAAGCCCUUGCAGCUCAUGAACUAGUUAGUGGCUGUUGUUUGUAAAUGGGUGCUGUUUAUCCUGUUACCUGGUUAGAGAAUUUGAUAAUGACUUGUGGUUUGUUGUUGUUUGGGCUUUUUCUUUUGUUGUGUUUUGUUUUUGUGCUCAUUAAGUCAAAGGUCAGACACACCACACCUUUGUUUAUACAGCACUCACUUUCAAGUCUGAGAGACCAAUAGGGCCGGUCAUCCUGAGGUUUAUUCUCAACAGCGGCUAAAUUCAAAAUUUCAUUCAUCUUCUCUCUUGCUUUCAUCAUAUAAAGCUAAUGGAUUGUGAACAAAAGGUCAAACUAAUUUACCAUGAGAGAAUGAGAUCCAGUGUCUGUGUUCUUUUUUGUAGAAUAACACAGCUGAAUAUACUUAAGGGGAGGCUAUGUGUAACAUAAAUAAUUUCCAUCUUAAAAUCAUCUUUCAGGUAUAAACAUCUUAUGUAAUAGCACACAAGGGCUUGGCUUUAAAAAUAAAUUUUUCAAAAUGCAAAUGAAGUUGUCACCUCCUCAUACCUUAGGGUUAACACAGUCACUCCUGCACAGGCUUCCAGAAGUUUAUGGCUCUGACUCUCUCUUAGCUCCUAGAUCCUUAACAUUUGGGCAAAAUGAAACUACUUCUUUUGUACCCUACGCCCCUUCAUCACAGAAUCAAAAUGCUGUGCUGGAGAAGAAUUUCAUUCUUGUUGAGUAUUCAGGGGUGUUACUGCUCUGUUUAUUCUCAUUUAAAGCAAGGCACUUGAAUAUCUUUACACCCAAUGAGCAUCGAAGCACGAUGAAUUUAGUACCAGGGGAAUGCUUAAUGCUGCUGCUGCUGCUGCUGCUGCUGCUGCUGCUGAAGAUGCUCCUGCAAGAGCUGCAAGGCAAACGUAGGGCAGAUCCCAGUUGGUAGAGCAGAUCUACAAACCUUCAAUGGGCUACAGGUACUAUACUCACUCGGUCAUUUGUCAGGACGAGAUGUGUGGACCUGCCCGAACUGUAUGAUUGUUUUAUGACAAGUUGAAAGGGAACUGAAUAAACAAAACCACACAGUCAUACAAGGCUUUUGUUGUUUG